rnacentral:rRNA from 1 species
GUCUACGGCCGUGCCACCCUGAACAAGCCCGAUCCUGUCUGAUCUCGGAAGCUAAGCAGGGUCAGGCCUGGUUAGUACUUGGAUGAGAAACCACCUAGGAAGACCAGGUGCUGUAGGUG